rnacentral:misc_RNA from 1 species
GUGAAUCAUCGAAUUUUUGAACGCAAAUUGCACUCCCUGGUAUUCCGGGGAGUAUGCCUGUUUGAGGGUCGUUAGAACAAAAGUCGAGGCGUCGCGCUUUUUUUUUUUAAGGGUGAUCGCGUCGGAAUUGGGCCGUCUUGCAAAUGGUACUUCAUGGCAAAGUGGCUUGAAAUGAAUCCAUCCGGGACGAUUAAAGCGUGUUUAAGAGAAACUUU